rnacentral:rRNA from 1 species
AUUGAACGCUGGCGGCAGGCCUAACACAUGCAAGUCGAGCGGCGCUGCAGACGGGUGAGGAAUGCCUAGGACUCUGCAUGUGAGUGGGGGAUAACGUCCGGAAACGGGCGCUAAUACCGCCUACUCUCAGAUGAGACUAUGUCGGAGUAGCUAGUUGGUGGGGUAAAGGCAGACAAAGGAGACGAUCCGUAACUGGUCUGAGAGGAUGAUCAGCCACACUGGAACUGAGACACGGGCCAGACUCCUACGGGAGGCAGCAGUGGGGAAUAUUGGACAAUGGGCGCAAGCCUGAUCCAGCCAUGCCGCGUGUGUGAAGAAGGUCUUCGGAUUUUAAAGCACUUUAAGUUGGGAGGCGUUACCAACAGAAUAAGCACCGGCUAACUUCGUGCCAGCAGCCGCGGUAAUAC